rnacentral:rRNA from 1 species
GCAAGUCGAGCGCACUCUUCGGAGUGAGCGGCGGACGGGUUAGUAACGCCUGGGAAUAUGCCCAAAGGUAGAGAAUAGCCACUGGAAACGGUGAGUAAUACUCUAUGUGCCCUUCGGGGGAAAGAUUUAUCGCCUUUGGAUUAGCCCGCGUUAGAUUAGGUAGUUGGUGAGGUAAUGGCCUACCAAGCCUACGGUCCAUAGCUGGUUUGAGAGGAUGAUC